rnacentral:rRNA from 1 species
UACGUAGGGUGCGAGCGUUGUCCGGAAUUAUUGGGCGUAAAGAGCGUGUAGGCGGCCAGACAGGUCCGUUGUGAAAACUCGAGGCUCAACCUCGAGACGCCGAUGGAAACCGUCUGGCUAGAGUCCGGAAGAGGAGAGUGGAAUUCUCGGUGUAGCGGUGAAAUGCGCAGAUAUCGGGAAGAACACCCGUGGCUAAGGCGGCUCUCUGGGCCGAUACUGACGCUGAGGAGCGAAAGCGUGGGGAGCGAACAGG